AGUGAACACUGGCGGUAGGCCUAACACAUGCAAGUCGAACGGCAGCACAGUAAGAGCUUGCUCUUACGGGUGGCGAGUGGCGGACGGGUGAGGAAUACAUCGGAAUCUACUUUUUCGUGGGGGAUAACGUAGGGAAACUUACGCUAAUACCGCAUACGACCUACGGGUGAAAGCAGGGGAUCUUCGGACCUUGCGCGAUUGAAUGAGCCGAUGUCGGAUUAGCUAGUUGGCGGGGUAAAGGCCCACCAAGGCGACGAUCCGUAGCUGGUCUGAGAGGAUGAUCAGCCACACUGGAACUGAGACACGGUCCAGACUCCUACGGGAGGCAGCAGUGGGGAAUAUUGGACAAUGGGCGCAAGCCUGAUCCAGCCAUACCGCGUGGGUGAAGAAGGCCUUCGGGUUGUAAGGCCCUUUUGUUGGGAAAGAAAAGCAGCAGGUUAAUACCCCGCUGUUCUGACGGUACCCAAAGAAUAAGCACCGGCUAACUUCGUG
rnacentral:rRNA from 1 species